AGGGACCCAGGGACUUAGGAUAAAUUAGACCGAGAGCCUUCAAAGCUCUAAGCAGGAGUUAAAAUCUCCUAGUCCCUG
rnacentral:tRNA from 1 species